CUAAAAAAAGGUUAUAUGCAAAUUUUUACAAAUUUUUGUAGAUUACUGCGUUUACAUAAUCAUCAUUGUAAUAAUCAUCAACGUAAAUUGUUUUUCAUUGAUGCGUUAUAAUUUAUAUUUGCAGAAUUUAUAUGAUAUGUAUACAUCAAUGAAAAACAAGUUACGUUGCUGCUUGCAGUACUACAUCGUGCAACCUGUUUUUAAAUCAAAUUAAAACAAGCAGAGUCAUUUAUAUCUUCGAUAGGAGGAAAAUUAUGGAAAAGAUUUGAAGAAAAAGAUCUGCAUAUUCAACAUUCUAUGUAAAGUACCUGUAGUGUUCGGUAGAUUAACAAAUUAUAGUCUCUUGAUAAUUCAUUACAUUCAAUUCAAUUAUUGUAAUGUUACGUAAUUAUUGUAAUGUUACGGGAUACCAAUGAUGCUUUCGUCGAGCGAUAGUUCCAGCUCGAGGCACUUUGAGUUGCGGAGAGAUCGCGAACAUCCGUCGAGCUGCCGCGCCGGCCUGGAUCAAGCUAGGACGGCGUAGCAACCCCCUUGAUGUCAAUGACUGUACCAUAGCGUUUCGGUUACCAACUGACUGCGUGAAAUACGCUACCCCCCUCCGGGGGCGGUACUGGAAAAUCACCCCCUGAACCCUCGUGCUAUCCUGCUAUCAAACCGCCCUUGUUUUCCAAUAAAUACAAAGCAUUUCCGGCGAUUGUGACGACAGAAAUGAAGCAUACUCGUUCUGCCGACGUAGAAACUUAUUUUCAUCACUCUCCUCCAACGCUGCUUCGGAGAUGCAAGUGAGCCGACGUAGAUCUAACAAUAAAACCUACCCCCGCUUGAUGGCGGCCUAUUCCGUUUCCGGUCGAGUUUCCAGUGGGCGCUAUGGCGUGACUUGGCCUCCGUUCCAUUUAUCGAUCCCCGUCUGUCACCAUCAUGCGGCGAGCGGUGACUGCUCGCGGUCGCGGAACGGGAAACGUCACCUCUAACUCCGUAUGCCAUCCGGCUCCGCGCACCAAUCGGGAAUUCCUAUUCCGACCGAUAUUUCUGAAGUCGCGUUUGUCCGUUAUCCAUCUGUCGAACUCUGUCGUUGAUUCGCCCUAAGUGCCUUACUUUAAUUUUUCAAGCGACUCAUUGUCACGUUGUUCCGUCUACUAAACUUUCCAGAGACUUGACGCGCAGUCGGAAACGCUUGCAAUUGGUCUGGAGCUGCAUGAAGAUCACAGCUUUCAUUUGCUCUUGGAUUCCAGCUAACUGCAAGCCUGUAACACUUGUUGAUCCACCAAAUUCGUCUAAGCAAAGCGGGAAAGCUCAGACCAUUAUUACAAGACUAUGUUCGUAUACGCCAUCAACACGUGCCAUCAACACAUGCCGCCCUAUCGCAUAUCAAGACCGCACGUAUCAGCGAAAGUGAUUGACCCGAUGAAGCUUCCUCUGUUUCUGCGCGCGUCCAUCGCAGCGGAUCAACGCCGUCGCGACGUGAUGGUGAUCGCUGUUGCACGCGCAACCCUCGUCGCCAACCCCUCGCGUUAGAGUGCGCAUUCGCGGUAUCCCCACAGAGAUGCACCUCCAACGCGGGAUGCUACCCUGGCAAGGUGGCGGGCACCGGCGACGCUUCGUCCGUCGGAAGGAGCCGCUAAAAACCUGGGACCUGCGACGUAUCUUUUUCGCGGCGCGACUUUUGGCCGGCGAGCGCCUGGAGACGAGGUCUGCGGCCUUCGCGGCAGCUCGAACCGAGCCACUUAAGCAGGCGACCAUCUCACUACGGCCAGGGCCGUAUAGCGCGCGAGGUGGUCGGUGGCGGGAAACGUUCGAAUUCCGUAGGGUGGAAGAGAGUAACGACUCGCGCGCGGUCAGCGGUAGAGGAGGACGAGGGGGAAGAGCAGGAGGGGCGAGGGCAAGGGCGGUCCAGAGCGGGGACGCGGCCGGGAGCGAUUUAUGAUGUCUUUUUACCGCCAUCUCCGUCUUCCUUUUUCCGCCACUCUUUUUCCGCCCGCCCUUCCAACCCCCGCCAUCAGCGCGGCGUGCACACGCACGCCGCCGAUUCCCCCCGGGUUAUCGAUCCCCGCCAAUGACGCCUGACAGCGCCAGCGCGCCAUCCUCGCUCAACUUCGUCGCCCCCACGUCGCUGCGUGUAUGCAUGUAUGUACAUACAUACAUAUAUCCACAUGCAUCAAACGUGUGCGAUGGAUGCAGUUGCGUGGAAAGCGCGUCCGAUGGGGGUAACGUGAUACACGCCCGCGUAUGCGCGAUGGGGUGUUCCCACUCACCCCAUCGGCGGCAAUGUAACGCGAUAUAUGUGGCAUACAUACAGAAAAAACUGUCGAUAGUGUACAACGAUUAAAAACAAUCGUUUCUUCUACGUUUAAAAUGUCACAACGAGUACUUAAUAGCGUGAAACGUAUCAUAAUGAAGUAUCAUGAUGUAACAAAAUAUAUAUUACAUCAUAAGAGA